CGGUGAGAUAGAUGAGGAGAAGUAUGACUCGGACAUGAACUAUUUCAGUGAGCAUGUAGCUCUAGCGAGGGAGAGUAUGAGCUUGGGUGAAGCUCACAAAAACAACAGCAUGUUGCAGAAGUGGUGCAAGUAACAAGAUAAGUUACUCCUUAUGUGCCUAAAGACUAUCAAGUUUCUGAAAGACAAGCUAAUCUACUCCACUUCCACUACUGCUAUUCCG